rnacentral:rRNA from 1 species
AUUGAACGCUGGCGGCAGGCCUAACACAUGCAAGUCGGACGGUAGCACAGAGGAGCUUGCUCCUCGGGUGACGAGUGGCGGACGGGUGAGUAAUGUCUGGGGAUCUGCCCGAUAGAGGGGGAUAACCACUGGAAACGGUGGCUAAUACCGCAUAACGUCGCAAGACCAAAGAGGGGGACCUUCGGGCCUCUCACUACCGGAUGAACCCAGAUGGGAUUAGCUAGUAGGCGGGGUAAUGGCCCACCUAGGCGACGAUCCCUAGCUGGUCUGAGAGGAUGACCAGCCACACUGGAACUGAGACACGGUCCAGACUCCUACGGGAGGCAGCAGUGGGGAAUAUUGCACAAUGGGCGCAAGCCUGAUGCAGCCAUGCCGCGUGUAUGAAGAAGGCCUUCGUGUUGUAAAGUACUUUCAGCGGGGAGGAAGGCGAUGUGGUUAAUAACCUUGUCGAUUGACGUUACCCGCAGAAGAAGCACCGGCUAACUCCGUGCCAGCCGCCGCGGUAA